CUGAUGUUAGCGGCGGACGGGUGAGUAACACGUGGGUAACCUGCCUGUAAGACUGGGAUAACUCCGGGAAACCGGGGCUAAUACCGGAUGCUUGAUUGAACCGCAUGGUUCAAUUAUAAAAGGUGGCUUUUAGCUACCACUUACAGAUGGACCCGCGGCGCAUUAGCUAGUUGGUGAGGUAACGGCUCACCAAGGCAACAAUGCGUACCCAACCUGAAAGGGUGAUCGGCCACACUGGGACUGAAACACGGCCCAAACUCCUACGGGAGGCACC
rnacentral:rRNA from 1 species